ACACAUGCAAGUCGAGCGGUAACAGAAAGUAGCUUGCUACUUUGCUGACGAGCGGCGGACGGGUGAGUAAUGCUUGGGAACAUGCCUUGAGGUGGGGGACAACAGUUGGAAACGACUGCUAAUACCGCAUAAUGUCUACGGACCAAAGGGGGCUUCGGCUCUCGCCUUUAGAUUGGCCCAAGUGGGAUUAGCUAGUUGGUGAGGUAAUGGCUCACCAAGGCAACGAUCCCUAGCUGGUUUGAGAGGAUGAUCAGCCACACUGGAACUGAGACACGGUCCAGACUCCUACGGGAGGCAGCAGUGGGGAAUAUUGCACAAUGGGCGAAAGCCUGAUGCAGCCAUGCCGCGUGAGUGAAGAAGGCCUUUGGGUUGUAAAGCUCUUUCGUCGGGGAAGAAAAUGACUGUACCCGAAUAAGAAGGUCCGGCUAACUUCGUGCCAGCAGCCGCGGUAAUACGAAGGGACCUAGCGUAGUUCGGAAUUACUGGGCUUAAAGAGUUCGUAGGUGGUUGAAAAAGUUGGUGGUGAAAUCCCAGAGCUUAACUCUGGAACUGCCAUCAAAACUUUUCAGCUAGAGUAUGAUAGAGGAAAGCAGAAUUUCUAGUGUAGAGGUGAAAUUCGUAGAUAUUAGAAAGAAUACCAAUUGCGAAGG
rnacentral:rRNA from 1 species